rnacentral:misc_RNA from 1 species
GUCGACUCGUUGAAACCUUAGACCUGCAGAGAGUGAAGAAGGAAACCUCUGUAUUCUGUAAUAUCUUCUUCAACUACCGACAAAGCCAUUCAAUUUCUGGUUGCGUAUAUAAAGGUGGAGAUAUGCGUUGAGAGGGUUUUGCAGUGGAGGGUUUUGGGAGUACUGAGGAGCUCUCGGGUAGGGAGCAUUAGCAGUUUAAAGUGAUGUGGACAAAUGUUUUUAGAAUUGGAGGCCUUCAUCAUGUAUCAUGGUUCCAGUUUCUCCCUAAUGAAUCUGAUUUGAACUCUCUACUGGAUAAGAGUAUAAAGUUAGAGCAGAAAGAUGCUGCUACAUGGCUUGUGCUUUGGUCUCAUUUGCAGUUGCAGAAAGACGGAUUUCUCAGCACUUGGACUAAUUCCUUUGUUGGACCUUGGGAUCCAUCUCAGGGUUUGCACAAUCCAGAUGAGAAAAUAAAACUCUGGCUUUUUCUUCCUGGGCGUCAUUCUUCUGUUGUUGAGAAGGCUCAAGCUGCGGUGUCUAGAUUAAGAGUUGUUGCCUCUGGAAUUUGGGUGGCUCCUGGGGACAAUGAAGAAGUUGCUGCGGCCCUUUCUCAGUCUUUAAGGAAUUGUAUAGAAAAAGCUCUUGUUGGACUUUCUUACAUGAGAUUUGGAGAUGUGUUUUCAAAGUAUAACCCAUCUCAAAGUGAAGGACUCUUCAGGAGACAACCUACAGUUGAGUUCAUCUUUGCUGCUACUGAAGAGGCAAUCUUUGUGCAUGUCAGAAUAUCUGCAAAGCAUAUCCGGCCACUUUCAACCAGUGACAUAGAAAGAGUGUUAAAGUGUUCUGCUAAUAAUUCUGGUUACAGGCUUCCAGUCAUUGUUUCUCCUCAUGGAAUGCGUGGUUGGCUCACAGGAUGUUGUCCAAAUGAUCUUGUCAAGCAAGUUUAUUUCAGUUCUGGCAAGUUUAGGACAUCAAAUGGAUUUAUAGGUCUACCAAACCAUUUUUCUCAAGGGCCUGGCUGCCUGCUGAGGGGGCAAAAUUGCUAUGUUGAAGUGACACUUGGUUGUCCUAGAUCAGAAAGUGAGAAGGGAUUGCGAUCAAACUCAAAUUUGAUCAGGAACUUACCUAAGAAUCACGUUGUGGAAUCUCCUGCUAUAGGAAGAGGUGAUCAUAAGGGAUCUCCAGUUCAAACAUCUGUACAUGAGAAAGCAUUUAUCUAUCCAGCGGAGGCAGUAGUUGUUCCAGUCUUGCAAACAUCUUUUGCUAGAUCUUCUCUGAAAAGAUUUUGGCUCCAAAAUUGGAUAGGUCCAUCAUUGCCUGGUUCAUCUUUCGUUAUGCAUUGUGGUGGUGAUAUAGAUAAUAUGGAAGGAUCUUGGAUUGAAUCUAAUGGUAUACGUAUACAGCGUGGCUAUAACAGUAGUAGCAAUAGUAAUAGUAGCAGUAUUGGCUCCAUAAGCAGCAGUUCUAGUGAUAGUGAUCGCAGAAUGACCACAGAAGCUGGUGAUCUUGAGGCAGAUGCAGAUUCAUUAUCAUGUAGACAAUCUGGUUUAUCUUCUAAUGAUCAGUUGGAAAAUGAUGGCCCCAAAUUGGGUUCUAAACGUCCUCAUUCAGGGGUUACAGAAUCGUAUGGUCAAAUGGGCAUUGUAAAAAAUUCUUCUAUGCAAGACGUGUACAAGUCUGAUUUUGGUUCUUUUGAAGUUGGCAAUUCAGCCAUCACAGGGGUUGCAAACGAGCAGAUUGGAUCUCAAUUAGAUUGGGAUGAUGAUGAUAGAGGUAUGGGGAUUAAUAUCCAAGCUCUUCUUUCUGAAUUCGGUGAUUUUGACGACUUCUUUGAGAACGAUGCCUUGCCUUUUGGAGAGCCCCCUGGAACAGCAGAGUCGCAGGCUCUUAUGUUUUCUGCUCCAGAUUGUGGAGAAGUUGUUAGCAGUCCUAUUGGGGUAAUGGAUGUUGCAGAUCAUAUGCUUUUGCCUGUAGGUUUUCCAUCCUUUGAGAGCUUUAAUCCACCUCCCACAGCAGUCAUAGAUGAGUGUGUCAGCAAAAAUCAAGAAAUCGCACUUGAUGCUCUCACAUCAGUUCCAGUGAACCACACUCCACCAUCUUCUGCAGGUGAGUUUGAUCAUUUAAUCAAAGCUGAAGCUCUGAUGUCCUUUGCUCCUGAAUAUGGAGCAGUUGAAACCUGCGCAAGUGAGUUCUUCCCAUCAAUUUUCAGAAGCCCAUAUUGCCCAAAGUCUCGCAAAGUUGAGAGUUCAAAUUCAAGCACAAACAAUUACACGUAUAGUGCAACACCUCCCUCUUCUCCUUGCUUAGAUGGAUCAGAUGAGAAGACUGGCAUGCCUGUGAAUGCAAAAGCAGGUGUCAGGAUGGACAUAAAGAAAUACUACACUCAUGUGGAGACUGGUAAAGUGCAAUGUAAUAGAAUAUCUGUCACACAAAAUGAGGGAUUGGUACCAUCUUCAUUCUCUACAGUCAAUUCUUCAAAUGCCGUCAAAUCUGUCCAGAGGAAAAUGGCCGAAGCCACAGUAGGAUCAGAAAACUUCCUACUUUCUUUGAAGACUGUGUUGGCAACUGAAGUUGAAUGUCUUAUGUUCCAAGCUACCAUGUGCAGGGUACGGCAUGUGCUGUUGUCUUCUUGUAACCCUGCACCUCAAAGCUUGAGUAGGUUAAGCAGCGGCACUGUUUUGAGUGAAUUGCCUGGUGAUGGAAGUACCAUGACAGACAAUAUAUCUAGCAGAUAUGAGGUAAAGAAGAAAGAAUCUAUACCAGUUAGAAUAGCUGGUGAUAUUGAUGGAGUGCUAGAUGGGCACCACAAUGCACCUGUUGGUGUUUGGCGCUCUGUUGCAGUUCCUAAAGUAACCAAACCUAGUAGUUCACCAAGUAUUGAAGUUAGUCCAUCGUUACCUCACCAUUCAUUGAAUGAGGAAAGAAUGCUUUCAUAUAAGAAUAGACAACCACUGCAGGAGCUGCUUGAUGGCAUGGCAUUACUUGUCCAGCAAGCCACUUCUUUUGUUGAUGUGGCUCUUGAUGCAGAUUGUGGUGAUGGUCCUUAUGGUUGGCUUGCAUUACAAGAGCACUGGAGGCGAGGAUUUUCUUGUGGCCCUUCCAUGGUCCAUGCAGGUUGUGGGGGAACUUUGGCUUCUUGCCAUUCCCUGGACAUUGCUGGCAUGCAGUUAGUAGAUCCUCUUUCUUCUGAUAUUCAUGCUUCCUCUGUGAUUAGCUUGCUUCAGUCUGAAAUCAAAACAGCCCUAAAAUCUGCAUUCGAGAAUUUGGAUGGCCCAUUAUCUGUCACUGAUUGGUGCAGGGGCCGCAGUCAAUCGGGUGAUGUAGGUACCACAUGCGAUGGAUCUUUGGCUGAUUCUACUUUAAGCGAGUGCAAAGAUUCUUCAAGCACUGUAUGUUUAUCUGUUGGAGAACCAAUGAGCCCAGCCCAGUCUUCUGCUGGUGCCUCUUCUUGCCUUAAAGUGGAUGGAGCUAAAGCGGAUGAUACUGGCCAAAGGAGAUUGAGCCAAGAAAUAGAGUCAGAGCAGCUUUCAUGCUCCCGAAGGCCAUCACUUUUUGUUCUUCCUUCCCCUGCUAUACUUGUUGGGUAUCAGGAUGAUUGGCUUAAGACAUCGGCAAGCUCUUUACAACUAUGGGAAAAGGCUCCUUUUGAACCAUAUGCUUCACCAAAACCUGUAAGAUUCUUGAAGUAUUUUGCAAUUUUUUUUAUAUAAACUUUGUGCACAUGAGCUAUUUAUGUUAAGGGGUUUGAAUGUUCCUAUGAUUGUCAAUGAUACUGCAACUUUGUUGUUCAUUAAAUUUUGCAGAUUUCUUAUUGUGUUAUAUGUCCAGACAUUGAUCCUCUUACUUCUGCUGCUGCUGAUUUUUUUCAACAACUCGGAACUGGUGAGUGGCAUUUAUUUUUUUUUUGGGGGUGAUGCUUCUAUGGCAAGUGUAUUGUACCCCCUUGGAGAAGGAAGCUUUUCAUUGUUCUCCAUGAGAAAACAAAGUGAUAGGAGUUUUGUUACGGUGAUAUUAAGUAUCAGAUGAGCUCUACUUGGAUAACAAUUUUUAUAGGUAUUUUUGGGGAACUGAAUUGCAGCCAAUUUUUUAAUCUAAAGUGCUGCUUGUACCAAAGGAGUCUUUUGUUAUUGGGAUUUUUAUAUUCACUUUCAAGUUAGGUUAAAUGCAUAAAAAAGUGUUUCUUCUGUGCAUUUGUUUACUUCAGUUGUAUGCCUUCAUGAUAUCAUGCUUCAAGUGUCAUUGGCACUUGGGUCUUACAAUGAGUUUUUCUCCUUCAGUUUAUGAGAUCUGCAAACUGGGAACUCAUCAACCUCAGAGUUUGGGAAACCAAAUGGAGAUAGACUCGGGGAAAUUGUCAACUUCUGGUUUUGUGAUGCUUGAUUGCCCUCAAUCAAUGAAGAUAGAAAGCAGUAAUACAUCUCUUGUGGGUUCGAUAAGUGAUUAUUUUCUCUCUCUCUCCAAUGGUUGGGACUUGACAAGCUAUCUUAAAUCUCUUUCAAAGGCUGUUAAAUCCUUAAAAAUUGGUCCGUGCAUAUCAACAAGCACAAAAGAAGGAAAUAGUGGUCCUUGUAUGGUUAUCUAUGUGGUGUGCCCCUUUCCCGAACCUAUUGCGGUUCUACAAACUAUCAUUGAAUCUUCUGUUGCUGUUGGAUCAACAGUUCUUCCAUCAGAUAGAGAGAGGAGGCCUCUAUUGCUGAGUCAGGUUGGCAAGGCUUUAAGUUGCUCAGCAGUUGUGGAUGAAGCAUCACCAUCAAAUGUUCUAGUACUUUCAGGGUUUAAUGUUCCUAAAUUGGUAUUGCAAAUUGUGACAGUUGAUGCCAUUUUUAGGGUUACAAGUCCUGCACUUAAUGAACUUGUCAUUCUUAAAGAGACUGCUUUCACUGUAUACAACAAGGCUCGGCGAAUUUCGAAAGGAUCCUCAUAUGAUGUUCAGUCAUCAACAUUGUCUAAUAGAUCUCAUCCAGUCAUGCAGCAAAUGACUUCCAUUCCAGCAAUAUGGAAGGAUUGUGUUGGUCCUCGACUUGGAGGGCCUUCACUUCCAAGAGAGGGUGAAAUUGAUGCUGGCUUGAGACCAGGUACUUGGGAUAACUCAUGGCAAACAAGGGCUGGAGGGUUGAACUGUGAUCCAAGCAGAAAUGGAGAUCUUUUUCAUCAGGAUGAAAUUCACUACAUGUUUGAGCCACUUUUUAUUCUUUCAGAGCCUGGUUCUCUAGAGCAUGCAGCUGCACCUGGAGUUUUUGGUAAUUUAACUGCAGAAUCUUCAAAGCUGUUAUCUGAUGAUAGUGGUGGAGGCUUCAUGCAAAGUGGCAGUUCAGCAGCGAGUUCAGAUACUGGAUCAAGCUCUCAACUUGAUGGAUUGGAGCCUGAUGGCGUUGGAGGUACUUACCAAAAGACUCUUCCAAGCCUACAUUGUUGCUAUGGAUGGACAGAGGAUUGGCGUUGGCUAGUGUGCAUCUGGACAGAUGCACGGGGAGAAUUGCUUGACAGCCAUAUAUUUCCUUUUGGUGGAAUUAGCAGUCGACAGGACACAAAGGGCUUGCAAUGCCUCUUUGUGCAAGUUCUUCAGCAAGGCUGUCAGAUACUUCAGGCUUGCUUCUCUCAUGAUAUUGGUUCUGCCAAGCCUAGAGAUUUUGUGAUUACACGCAUUGGAAAUUUCUUUGAGCUUGAAUGCCUAGAAUGGCAGAAAGCUAUUUAUUCAGUUGGGGGUUCUGAGGUGAAGAAAUGGCCCCUGCAACUGCGGCGAUCUAUGCCCGAUGGGAUGUCUGCUGGUAGUAAUGGGGCUACCUUGCAACAACAGGAGAUGAGUUUAAUGCAAGAGAGAACUCUUCCUUCCUCACCCAGUCCAAUGUACAGCCCUCACUCAAAAGGUUCUGGCUUUAUGAAGGGUGGUUUAGGACAAUCUUCUGCAAGAAAACAGCUUAUAGGUGGACACACAGUGGUUGACAGCUCAAGGGGAAUGCUUCAGUGGGUUCAGAGCAUCAGUUUUGUUGCAAUUUCGAUUGACCAUUCUUUACAUUUGGUUUUUCAAGCAGAUUCACCAUCUCCUGGAGGAACUCAGAGUGGCAAUGGUGUUGGUGCUUCUGGCUAUUUGGAAGGUUUCACUCCUGUAAAGUCUCUCGGUUCUUCUUCUGCGUCUUACAUUUUAAUUCCAUCACCCAGCAUGCGCUUCCUCCCUCCAACACCUCUUCAGCUUCCCACAUGUCUCACUGCUGAGUCACCACCACUUGCACAUCUCCUCCAUAGUAAGGGCUCUGCAAUUCCCCUCUCAACGGGCUUUGUGGUUUCCAAAGCCGUACCUUCUAUGAGAAAAGACUACAGGAGCAACUCGCGGGAAGAAUGGCCCUCAAUUCUUUCUGUGAGUCUCAUUGAUUAUUAUGGGGGUAAUAACGUUAUUCAAGAGAAAAUCUCUAGGGGGGUUAUGAAGCAAGGUGGACGACCUUUAGGCUCUGAAGUUAGAGACUUAGAAAUUGAAAUCCACUUGAUUCUUGAGUCUAUAGCAGCUGAACUUCAUGCCUUAUCGUGGAUGACUGUGAGCCCAGCAUAUUUGGAGCGACGGACUGCACUGCCAUUUCACUGUGACAUGGUUUUAAGGCUUAGAAGGCUGCUUCAUUUUGCUGAUAAGGAGCUCUCUUCGCAACCUGAUAAGUCCCAGAUGUAAGAGGUGUGGAUUUGCUUGGUGUUUUUCUUUGUGGAUAAUGCCCAAUCAAAACUCAAUGAACUGCUAUUAUCAGGUUGUCUUAAUGCUUCGAUGUACAAUAAAGCAUAACAUGUAAUUUGUAUAUGUAGCAGUAGCCUUCUUUUUGAAUUCCCAGAGAGAAAUGAUCGAGUCUGGGAAGAGAGUUUAGAUCUAACAGAUAAAAUUAGGACAGCAGAAGCCAAAAAUGUAAAUGAAUAGGAUAAUUCAUUACAGCUCUAAUCAGCAUGAUUACUUGGUAUAUCAUGUUAAUGUGAGUAGAAUAGCUCAAUAUUUUGUACCCUAAGGGGAUGUUAGUGUUUGGGAAAUUUUCUUUAUUAGUAGGUCAUAGUUGUUUUCUUAUUGUUGACAGAAUUGCAUAAAUUCAAGAAAAUGAUAUGUGAUAUUGACUAGUUCAAAA